rnacentral:rRNA from 1 species
AGUGAACGCUGGCGGCGGGCCUAAUACAUGCAAGUCGAACGGAGUGGCGAACGGGUGAGUAAUGUAUAGCUAAUCUGCCCUACACUAGAGGACAACAGUUGGAAACGACUGCUAAUACUCUAUAGUGUAGGAUGAGGCUAUAUUGUAUCAGCUAGUUGGUGAGUGAAUGGCUCACCAAGGCUAUGACGCAUAACUGGUCGGCGAGGAUAAUCAGUCAAACGGGAACUGAGACACGGUACAGACUGCUACGGGAGGCAGCAGUAGGGAAUAUUGCUCAAUGGGGGAAACCCUGAAGCAGCAACGGCGCGUGGAGGAUGACACUUUUCGGAGCGUAAAAUCCUUUUGUUAGGGAAGCGGUACCUAACGAAUAAGCACCGGCUAACUCCGUGCCAGCCGCCGCGGUAAUAC